AUUGAACGCUGGCGGCAUGCCUUACACAUGCAAGUCGAACGGCAGCACGGGGGCAACCCUGGUGGCGAGUGGCGAACGGGUGAGUACUGCAUCGGAAUGUACCCAGUAGUGGGGGAUAACUAGUCGAAAGACUAGCUAAUACCGCAUACGCACUGAGGUGGAAAGCGGGGGAUCGCAAGACCUCGCGCUAUUGGAGCAGCCGAUGCCCGAUUAGGUAGUUGGUGGGGUAAAAGCCUACCAAGCCGACGAUCGGUAACUGGUCUGAGAGGACGACCAGUCACACUGGGACUGAGACACGGCCCAGACUCCUACGGGAGGCAG
rnacentral:rRNA from 1 species